UACAGUCCUGGAAGGAAAAUUUUACACAAUGUCAAAUACUAUCAUGAAAUAUUUGUGGAAAAAUCUUUUUGUGUUUCAGAAGGUGUGGCUACAUCAGACAGACACAAACAAAUGUAUUUUUUUGUUCACUGCUAAAAAAAAAAAAA